UAGAAAUCGUGAUGGCUCGUGAACGGUUGUUGCUGGUCCUACGGGGCAUGUGCACGCUUGGAUCGGGUUCGUUCAUCCUUUUCUUCCACACACCUGUGCACGAUCUGUAGCUUAGGGAUGAUCACGAAGUUGCUCUGUCGAUUUCGAAUGCCCUUCGCUAUGUAUUAUAACACACGCUCUAUGUAUUUUGGAAUGUUAUGGAUAUGCGCUUUAACAGACGCAGAUGCAAUA
rnacentral:misc_RNA from 1 species